GUCUUUUUGAGUUAUUUUUAAAGUCUGACCUGCCCACUGAAUUUUUGAAUGGCCGCAGUAUUCUAACUGUGCAAAGGUAGCAUAAUCAUUAGUCUUUUAAUUGAAGGCUGGUAUGAACGGUUGGACGAGGUAUUAACUGUUUCAUAUAUAUUUACAUUAGAAUUUUAUAUUUUAGUUAAAAAGCUAAAAUAAUAUUAAAAGACGAGAAGACCCUAUAAAUCUUUAUAUUUUAUAUAUUUUAAAUGGUUUAGGUUUAUUUUAUUUUUAUUAUAUAAAAUAUUUUGUUGGGGUGAUGUUAAAAUUUAAUUAACUUUUAAUUAUUACGAGUCAUUAAUUUAUGAUUUAUUGAUCCAUUAAUAGUGAUUAUAAGAUUAAGUUACUUUAGGGAUAACAGCGUAAUUUUUUUGGAGAGUUCAUAUCGAUAAAAAAGUUUGCGACCUCGAUGUUGGAUUAAGAUAUAAUUUUAGGUGUAGUCGUUUAAAUAUUAAGUCUGUUCGACUUUUAAAUUCUU
rnacentral:rRNA from 1 species